UUGUGCCACCCUUACCACUGCUGCGGAAGUGAUGUGGGAAUCACAGGGCGGAGCGAGUGAUUUAUAGACAAACCCCGUCCGUAAACUCCCAGACAGAGGCAGGGUACGGGGCUAGCACGGCGUUCAAGGCUCAUCGUGCUUCAUCCCAGCUCACCUACUCAACUGGACUUUCGCUACCCACCUGCAGCCCUUCUGUGUCAAUCACCUGGGGCCUCUCACGGCUAGGGUUUCAGGUUUCAGUGUCCUUGUUCACCCUGGAAGCCUGAAAGUUCAAAACAACACCUGAUUCGCUCUUGUUCUCUCAUUCUGGAAUCUAUUUUCUCUCCUUUAGCUCUGAUUUAAAUCGAUUUUCAGCACGCUCCAUGAUGCAGAGCAAGUGUCUUCUCUUCCAUGAAGGCUUCUCUUACGGACCAAGACAAAAGCAUCCAAGCAGAUCUGGUCUUGAAUAUUGCUUCUGCAACUCUCUCUCACUUUGAUGUUGCAUAAGCAAACUUGGGUGCCAUGUUUUGAAGAUGGGGGUGUGGUAGCAAAAUUUCAAGAUGUUCUCCAGUGAUCCUUGCCUCCUGGUAUUCAUGCCCCAUAUAAUUCUCUACUGUCCUGAGUACGAUGGAUGUGUGCCACCAAUAGGAUAUUGCAGAAAGGGCAGUGUGUGACUCCCAAGGCAAGGUCAUAAAAGCUAUGUGGCUUCUGCUGUAACCUCUCUUGCAUCAUUCUCUUUGGUGGAAGCCAGUCACUAUGUCAUAAGGACACUCAAGCAGUCUUGUGGAGAGGUCCAUGUGGUGGGGAACUAAGACCUCCUGCCAGCUGCCAGCACAAAUUCUCAUUUAUGUGAGAGAUCAUCUUAGAAGUGGAUGCUCCAGUCCCAGUUCAAUCUUCAGAUGACUGCCACCUUGCAAGAGACUCUAAGCCAGAACCACCCAGACAAGCCACUCCCAAAUUUCUUAUGUAUGGAAACUGAUAAUGCCUAUUGUUUUAAGCUGCUAAGUUUUGGGGGUAAUUUGUUAUGCAGAAAUAGCUAACUGAUACAGGGGGCCACAAAGUGAAAGGGGCUUAGGUCCCUGUGACUCCCUAAAUAGGAGCUGCCCACUGAGACUUGGGCUUUGUCUCUAAGUGGGAAUCCCAAGGCUUAAGCUCCUUUAGCUUUAUGGUAAAUCUGCCUUUGUUAGACUCCAGUACAUGUCUCUGCUUUUUCAAGUCUUUCUUUUAUGGCUAUUAGUAAAGUUUUGUAAUUUUUUUCCUGUAGGUUUUGAAUAUUUCCUUUUUUUCAUUUUCUUUUUUCCUCCUGUUUAUUUCUAUUUCUAGCCAUUUAAUAGUUGGUUUUGUCUUUGUAGAUUGAAUGGAAUUUAAAUGAUUUGUGUAUGUUGAUCUUUAUAUUCUGCAACUUUGCUCAAUUCUCAUGUAAAUAAAGAAAUUUGCCAGUUAAUCUUGAAUUUUCUAGAUAAUCAUAUCAUGUACAGAAAAUAACAGUUUUCCUUUCCUUUGUCAGUGUCUUAUUUCUUUUUCUUAUUCUAUUGUGUUGACAAGUACUUCUAAUAGGAUAUUGAAUGGUUAUGGUGAGAGUAGUUUGGUCUUGUCAUUUACAUGUCUCUCCAUUAAGCAUGAGACUUGCUGGAAACGUCUAGUAGAUUGAAUUUAGCACAUUCUUUUUGAUGUCUAGUUUGCUA
rnacentral:lncRNA from 10 species